rnacentral:snoRNA from 1 species
AGGCAGCCCUCUUGCGAAUGAACAUAGCAGGUGUGGCGUUAUUCUGCUCGGACAUGGAUUCUUUUGCUCUUCAGACUUGCUGAGUUGGGUUUUAAAUUAACGCCCUUCGCUGAAGCUGGUCUAGUAAGCUUAAGUACAUU